rnacentral:rRNA from 1 species
UUGGAGGGCAAGUCUGGUGCCAGCAGCCGCGGUAAUUCCAGCUCCAAUAGCGUAUAUUAAAAUUGUUGCAGUUAAAAAGCUCGUAGUUGAAUUUCGGGAUUAGUACGUCGGUCGUGCCUUAGGUACGUACUGGUGUUACUGGUUCCUACCUUCUGACGAACCAUCAUGUCAUUAAUUUGGUGUGGUGGGGAAUCAGGACUGUUACUUUGAAAAAAUUAGAGUGUUUAAAGCAGGCUCGCGCUUGAAUACAUUAGCAUGGAAUAAUGAAAUAGGACG